CCGCACAUCUUAAAAAUUGCCGAAGAUUGAGAACUACUGGCGCUAGCUUUUGAAAGUUCCGGUUCCGGUUUUUGAAGGCGUCUUUGGCGCUUUGCUUGAGCGGAAGUGGAGGACCAUACAGUUGACGGAAAGCACAGCUAUCUGUCAAACUAGAAUUCUUGACAGGAGAUUUCCAAUGAGAAGGACUCGCUAAGCUGAUUUUUCCAUUAGGAGAAGAGAGAGGUGAUGGACAAGACUUUGUGCAAGUAGAUAAGGAAUUAGCAGGUGCUUCACCAAUAACCUCUGAUAACCUUUCAGAGCACUGGGGGUUGCUGGGAGAGCAAGGAGUUGCUCACCAUGAGCUACAGAGAACUGGAACUUCAUCCAACAGAACAAGCUACUGGCCCACACGCCAUUGCUUACUGUGAGACCAUCUGACCAGAAGUGCACAUCUAAGCAAUUAUAGUUUUAAAAACACCAAUAGCAGGACAAGAUGUUGUGGCCACUGGCAGCCAGCGGAGCUGGCAACAGAGUUGGACAGUGAAGAGGUUGAGGAGGAACUUGGGCCAGUCUUGGGGGCUGGGGAAAGCUCGGACGAGGGCCCUGCAUCAGAGGCAGAGAGGGAUAGACAGCAGCAAGGCAGAGGAACAGCUGGAGCCCGUUCCCAGUGUGUGCAUGUGCAGAGCUGCCAGAAGACAACAAUUAAGAAAGCAGAGUCAACUUGGGAGUAAGGCCACACCUUGGAGAUAAUUGGCCCCUCCCAUAGGAAAUAAAAGAGGAGCAAACAGGGAGUUGGCUUUUGCAGGAAACAAUUCGUUCAUUCCAUGACUCUGAGAGACUCUGCUCCAAGUUUUGCCUUGUACUGCGGUUGGAAACAAUUUACAUGGCAGCUUGCCAAACGAGAUAAGAUGUGUUGAGAAAUAUUCCUUUGAAAAACUGUUUGGACAAACCUUGCUGACUGUGAAUGAACAUAAUUCACAGUCAUGUAAAUAAAAGAGGUUUUGCCAAUAAUUCCUGCCUCCUGCUGUUAAGGAAGCCUAGGUCAGAACAGCAGAUUGCUAGUUUACAUGGACAGAUUGCUUAUUUAGAGUCUUUAGUUUGUGCUCUUCAGGCUGAAAUUAGGUGGCCGACUCAACUGGUAUGUGUCAACAUUACGGGACCGCCUGCUACCACCAAUAGCCUCCCACCGGCCAGUACGCUCCCAUAGAGAGGGGCUCCUCCGGGUGCCGUCGGCCAAACAAUGUCGGCUGUCGGCCCCUAGGGGGAGAGCCUUCUCUGUGGGGGCACCUACGAUUUGGAACGAGCUCCCCCCAGAGAUACGUAGGAUCCCGGAUCUGCGCACCUUCCGCCGGGCGCUUAAUACUUUUCUAUUUUAUCAAGCUGGCCUGGCCUAAAUCUUCCCCUUUUUAAAUGUGGAAAUUUUAAAUUUUUAAAUUUUAAAUUCGUCUUAUUUAUAGGGGUGUGGGUAAGGCGUUUUAAAUUGGGGAGCCAUUUUGGAUUUAAUUCUAUUUUAAACGUAUUUUAAUUGUUUAUAUUGUAUGUUUUUAAUUUUGGCUGUUCACCGCCCCGAGUCCUUCGGGAGAGGGGGGCGGUAUAAAAAUCUAAUAAAUAAAUAAAUAAAUAAAUAAAUAAAUAAAUAAAUAAAUAAAUAUGUCAUGGCUGCUAUU